rnacentral:rRNA from 1 species
CGUUUCACUCCUACGGGAGGCAGCAGUGGGGAAUAUUGCACAAUGGGCGCAAGCCUGAUGCAGCCAUGCCGCGUGUAUGAAGAAGGCCUUCGGGUUGUAAAGUACUUUCAGCAGUGAGGAAGGCGGGUACGUUAAUAGCGUGCUUGUUUGACGUUAGCUGCAGAAGAAGCACCGGCUAACUCCGUGCCAGCAGCCGCGGUAAUACAGAGGGUGCGAGCGUUAAUCGGAAUUACUGGGCGUAAAGCGCAUGCAGGUGGUUUGUUAAGUCAGAUGUGAAAGCCCGGGGCUCAACCUCGGAAUUGCAUUUGAAACUGGCAGACUAGAGUACUGUAGAGGGGGUAGAAUUUCAGGUGUAGCGGUGAAAAUGCGUAGAGAUCUGAAGGAAUACCGGUGGCGAAGGCGGCCCCCUGGACAGAUACUGACACUCAGAUGCGAAAGCGUGGGGAGCAAACAGGAUUAGAUACCCUGGUAG